UUUCCAGUCUGCUUAGUACGGCGAGUGAAGCGGCAAAAGCUCAAAUUUGAAAUCUGGCACCUUCGGUGUCCGAGUUGUAAUUUGAAGAAGGUAACUUUGGAGUUGGCUCUUGUCUAUGUUCCUUGGAACAGGACGUCACAGAGGGUGAGAAUCCCGUGCGAUGAGAUGCCCAAUUCUAUGUAAAGUGCUUUCGAAGAGUCGAGUUGUUUGGGAAUGCAGCUCUAAGUGGGUGGUAAAUUCCAUCUAAAGCUAAAUAUUGGCGAGAGACCGAUAGCGAACAAGUACAGUGAUGGAAAGAUGAAAAGAACUUUGAAAAGAGAGUGAAAAAGUACGUGAAAUUGUUGAAAGGGAAGGGCUUGAGAUCAGACUUGGUAUUUUGCGAUCCUUUCCUUCUUGGUUGGGUUCCUCGCAGCUUACUGGGCCAGCAUCGGUUUGGAUGGUAGGAUAAUGACUAAGGAAUGUGGCUCUACUUCGGUGGAGUGUUAUAGCCUUGGUUGAUACUGCCUGUCUAGACCGAGGACUGCGUCUUUUGACUAGGAUGUUGGCAUAAUGAUCUUAAGCCACCCGUCUUAAAAGGGACACAAAAAAAAAUGGGGUUUGGCGUCCUUUUUAGACCUAAGGAAUGUUUGGCCCUUAAAUGAAUUUUUAAAGCCCACCCCCGUCCUUAAAACAUUGGUAGUCACAAAAAAAC
rnacentral:rRNA from 1 species